GUAGGGUCACCUAUAAGGCCGGGCUGCGCUGUGAGAGGAACCGGGCUUCCAGAAGCACACCCUGCCCUCGAGUCGGGGUCGCCGCGGCGGGACCGGUCUCGGCCUGGAGACCCGCCUGGCAGCCCCGCGCUCGCGGGAGUGAACUACGUGCCGGGCGGCGGGCGCCGCUGUUUAGGGAACGCCGGGCCCCUUCCUCUCCUCCCUGCCCAGGCAGGCUGCCAACUUCUCCAGGCUGCCCCUCUCCCCGCGCAGUCGCUCAAGGAGGCUUCAAACGCCACCAGCUGCGGGGACCCGCCCAUCGCGCCCCACCCACCCACUGUCUGGGAGGAAACGCUCGGCUGCGCCCCGCCCGCGGCCUCCCUGCGGGCCAGGCGACUUGCCCUUGACUCUCACCAGCUCCAUUCUGCUCUAGGCAGUCACCGGAGAAGCAGGCGCUUAACUUAGUGCACCUCAGAGCGGAGUUUGACACGCCCUUUAUAACGUCGGUUUUUCCGGCCCUCUGGCAACCCCUGACCCGGGGACACUAAGACGGGUCACCGUGCCUAAUGGUUGUGGGACAAGUCAGCCACUGCUCUGAAUCCCAACAACUGGGAAAGACUGCCACCUGGGCAUUGGACCCAGUGGACCGGGGAAGAGGUUAGAGGCAUCGUCUUGUUUACAGAAUUAAAAUUCUAAAUUAUUUUGGAGCCUAGAUAGGAAAGACUUCGAUUUCUAGGGUACCGAAGGGAAAGCGCCAUUUGGGGUUGCAUGUUACCGGCAGAUUGUCAACUCUGCGCACCCUGACUAUCCGUUCCAAUGCCCUCCUGCUGGUUGCGUUGCUGCGUUCUGGGGAGAAUGGCAAAGCUUGCUGGCCCCAGUCACUUACCUAUAGCAAAGCCUCUGGCAGAAAGUGGUCAUCCUUCUCCAGGAUUGUAUGGGUGACAUCUAAGAUUUGUGUCCUGAGCAAAUAAUGAUUCAGGAUGUCAUUCUGUCCCCACCGCAUGUGACAUCAGUCACUUCAUUGGGAAGACCCUAGGCAGAUUUACCGACUGUACAUCUCUUCCCUGACCCUGUGGGUCUAGCAAAAUUCUGCACAUGCCUACAGGCGCAGUUUUUCUCCCACAUCUUUCUCUGUCACCGUGGUUGUGGCGGACCUCUGAGGAGCACGUACUCUUCUAUUCGCUGGGCUAACGCUGCCUUACUUGAGGGGAGAGAGUAAUGGCCUGGGUCAAGAAGCCCCUGCUAUGACAUGCCCCGUCCAUGAGUGUGACCUUUUGGAGCGUUCUAACUGAACCCAGUGGCUUUCUAAAUACAAAAUAACACCUUGACCUGCUUCUCAGUAAUCCACUCAUCAAUCAUUUGAUGAUUGUUGGAGACGCACCCAUGUGGAAAAAACCUUCAAGGCCAUGAAUAUGGCUCAGCAGCACAGCACCUGCCUGGCAAGUAGAAGGUUGUGAGUUUGAUUCCCCCGAAGCAAAAUAACAUAAAAAAUAGCUUGAAGAUGGAUACAGUUCUGUUCCCAGAACACAUCUCAUCAUGUGAGUCCAUGUUUUUUUCCCUUGCUGUGCAGGGUUUUGAAAGAGGCCACUUACGUAUUCAUGAGAACAAGGCUUCGUGUUUCAGAUGAGAAAAGCAAAAUCGAGACAAGCAGAACAGGGAAGAUAAGAAGAGAAGUGGCCCAAGAUAUUCUGGUCAGCGAAGAAUCUAAAAAUUGUGAGGCCGAGGUUUCUGAGUGAGGGCAAGUGGCUGGAUGGGGUGUGUGGAAGUCAGUGUCUUUCAGGAGUCUCUGAAAUAUUUUUUUUUUUUGAAGCAUAAAUCUACAAGGGAAGGAGAGCCAGAGAAAAAAUAACAGUAACACCAUUUUUGAAGCUAAAAUACUCAGCAGACCCGAGAAAAUGAAACGCUGACAUAGUGGCCCGGAGGGAAGCUUCACAAACAGACAGCAGUAGAUACAUCGUGAAGGCCAAAAGAAUGCUCAGGGCCUCAAGUGCCCAGAUCCCCCCAUCUCAGCCUGACAAGAGCCCCUUCCCGGUCCUGACAAAAAGUGUCUGUUACCUGAAGAGAAAAGUAAAUGCCGGGCUGGGAACAGUUGUACAAGGCACCCGUGAGAGUUGGGAGGAUGAGAUGCCCCAUUAGGUAUUAAGACACUGAGAGUCUCAAGCCCCAUUCUGGAUACAGGGAGCCAGCAGGCCAGGAGGAUUUUUCUGAAGGGCCAAACCAGCCCAGAAAGAAACACUUAAAUCUUCUGAUGUCUGCAGAUGCCGGUGGGACAGUCAGCUUGCUCUAGGAAAGGCUGCAGAGAAGGGGACACAGAUCGGUCCUUCCCAGCCAGCAGGAGCGGGCAGCCACAGCUGACCUCACUUCUUGGGAUGGCCUGUGUCAUGAGCUGCAAAGCCACAGUAGAUUUUUUUUUAAGAAGCAAAUUAGAGGAAACAAACCAAGCAAAGAGAAGUAAAACAUAAUACUAGAAAUAAUGGAAACUACAACAACAAAUGGGAAUGGGGGCGGCAGGUUAAGUUAGAGACCCAGCCAGAAAGUUUAUUGAUUGAAUAAUAGGAACCCCAGAAAGUGGUCAGAGAAAAUUGUCCAUUAUUCAGGAAGAGUUUGCACGACCAAAGAACAUGUUACAGGGAUCAAAGAGAGCUCAAAUCAAGGUGUAUCACCACUGAGUUUCACAAUCUCAAGGACAAACAUGCCCAGACAUUAGAAGCAGGUCACACACCAGCAGGACUCAGAAUGGCUGUGGGAGUUACAAGGCAAGAAAGCAGUAUAACAAGAGAACAGUGUAAAGGAAGUUUCUUUUCCACCCUUCACCCAGACGUGCUACCCACCAGGGCAGUCGCCCAUCACUGGCAGCAAGGACGAGUCCUGGGAAAUGUGCUAGCGGCCCAUUUCGUCACAGUGGGAAGGAACCUGGUAGCGUGAGCUUAUCCCACCUGUGUGCACAGGCCAGCCAGUUCAGGUGGUCACUGGGGCAGUGAAGAGACACGAGUCGUUGCCUUUUGUCCUUCGCCUGCUGUUUACUGUGCUCGGGCAAGUGUCCCCAGAGGCUCAGGUGUUGUAUAUACCUUGGUCCCCUGCCCAGGUGCUCUUGGAGAUGGAGCCUUAAAGAGUGAGAAGACAGUCAUCUGUGAACCAAAAAGCAGAGUCUCACUGGACACCACAUCUACUGACAUCUUGAUCUCGGACUUAUCAGCCUGUGGAGCUGUGAAAAGAAAUUGUUGUCUGUAAGCGACCUGGUCUGUGGUAAUUUGUCAUAGCACCCCAAACACAUAGUAACAGCUUCCUACCCUACAAGGAGCCAGGAGGAGCCCCAAGACAUCUGCCAAAGCAAGUGGGGAGAGGGCUGAGCUAUUUAAUGAAGCGUUCAUGAUCUCCACAUGAUCUGACUCCAGAACACCGAGAGUAUCUGCAGGUGUCCUAAAGGGAACCAAAGGAAAGUGCUUUUCGGUUGACUGGCUCAGUCGCACGUAGUAUUCAUGAUAGUGACAAUGUCCGAGCAAGCCAUCAACUUUUUUUGCACUAUGCUCAUUGGGCAGUGUGGCAUGGACAUAUAGGCACCAGAGGGAGGAGGGAAAGGAGCCAACUCCACCUCUACGAGUCAGCACCCCAAAUAAGAGAAUCAAAGCAGGAUGGUGUGGAGGGCAGCACCCGAACAAAAGAACAAAAGAACAAAAGCAGCGAUGGUGUGUUGGAUGGACUUCUAAGGUAACCCCAACAUUGGUCUGCACACACCUUCUCCCAGUUCCCAAACCAUAAUCCAUAUAGGGAUUUUGGGAUGUGAUUACUGUCUCUAAUCUGUUGACAUUAAGACAGGGAGAUCACAGAAACAGGAGGGCUGAUAGGGAUUUGAGGCAAGGACAAUUGUUUAAAAUUUUAAAGAGACUCAAACAAAAGAGGACAGAACAAAGCAGAUGAGAACAGAACAAUGUAAGCAACACAGCACUUCACAACAAGACAACCGGAUAUGAACAGUAGCUACCAUAAUGUUUCUUUCUUUGAAAUAGUUGAGCAUACCUUUACACACAAUAAUAUCAAACAUAACAACAUACUAUAAAACCAUUCAAGAGGAUAAAAGUAUUACAGGGCAUUCAGAACCAAAUAACAGAAAAUGAACAAUGGCUACUAUAAUAUCUCAUUUUCCAUAAAAAUUUGUUUACACUAUCACACAAAUUAAAAUCUAAUAAGAUAGAACAUGAUAGAACCAAUGGAAACAGAAGAACAAAAGCAUGGUAGGGCUUCAAAGCAAGAUGACAUUAAAUCAGCAAUGGCUGCCAUAAUGUCUUGUUUUCUUCAAAAUAGCUGUUCAUACAGUCACGCAUAAUAAAAUCAAAUAAAACAGAAUAAAACCAUUCCAACUAAUGAAUGAAAACAUUAAAAGGUUUCAAAGCAAUGUAAUAGGGAAUCAUGAUUAUCAUAAAAUCUUAUGUACUCUUACCAUUUCUUACACUAGGGAGACCAUACAGUGUUUAUACAUGUGAGUUUGAUUUACUUUGCUUAUGAGUGUGGUCUCAAGUUGCACCCAUUUAUUUAUAAAUAUCUCAAUGUGAUCAUUCUUUAUAGCUGAGUAGUACUCCACUGCAUAAAAAUACCACAACUUUUUUAUCCAUUCCUCAGUUGAUGGGCUCUUAGGUUGUUUCCAAGAUCUGGCUAUUACAAAUUGUGCUGCUAUAAACAUGGGUGCACGUAUAUCACUGUGGUGUGAUGCUUUCAGUUCUUCUGAGAAUAUGCCUAGAAGUGGAAUAGCUGGGUCAAAUGGGGCUUCCAGUCCCAGCUUUUUGAGGAGUCUCCAGACUGACCUCCACAGUGAUUCCACCAGUAUACACUCCCACCAACAUGAAGGAGAGUUCCUUUUCCCCACAGCAUCUCCAGCAUUUGUUGUUGGUAGUUUUCUUGAUCCUGACCAUUCCUUCUGGAGUGAGAUAGAAUCUCAGUGUGGUUUUAAUUUGCAUUUCUUUAAUGAGUAAUGAUGAUGAACAUUUUUUCAUGUAUUUAUUUGCCAUUUGUAUUUCUUCACCUGAGAAUUGUGUAUUCAUCUCAGAUGCCCAUUUUUGGAUUGGGUCUUUGGAUUUCGAGGGUCUGCUUUUUUUAAUUCUUUAUAUGUUUUAGACAAAAGUCCUUUGUCUGACGGACAUUUCACUAAGACUUUUUUCCCAGUUUGUGUGUUUUCUUUUCACUGUGGUGGAGAUUUCUUUCGACAUGCAGAAACUUUAAUAAGAUGUGAUCCCAGUUAUUGAUUCUGGGAAGUAGUUCCCAUGUGGUUUGCUUCUUGUUCAUGAAUUCUCUACCUACUCCUAUGUCUUCAAGAUUUUUACCUACUUUGUUUUCCAACAGAUUUAGUGUUUCUAUUUUAAUAUUUAGCUUUAAUCCAUUUAGAUUUUAGUUUAGUACAUGGUGAUAGGCAUGGGUCUAGUUUUAGUUUUUGGCAUAUGGGGAGCCAGUUUUUCCAGCACCAUUUAUUAAAGAGACUGUCGUUCUUCCAGUGAACGUGUUUGGCCCCUUUAUCGAAGAUAGGGUAGUUGAAUGUGUUUGUAUCUUCUAAUCUAUUCAAUUGAUCUUCAGAUCUGUUUUGAUUUCACUACCAUGUUGAUUUUAUUACCACAGCUUUGUAGUGUAACUUCAAGUCAGGGAUUGUGAUGCCUCCUGCCUUGCCUUUGCUGCUUAGAAUUGCCUUUGCUAUUCUAGGUCUCUUCUGUUUCCAGAUGAAUUUUAGAAGUGAUUUCUCUAGAUCUAUGUAGUAUGUUGAUGUUAUUUUAUUGGGUUGCAUUGAUCUGCAUAACAGUUUUGGGAGAAUGGCUAUUUUCCACAAUAUUUAUUCUUCCAAUCCAUGAACAAGGAAUGUCUUUCCAUCUUCUGAGGUCCUCUUUGAUUUCUUUUUCAGGGUAUUAUAAUUUUCCACAUAUAGAUCUUCCAUUUAUUUCAUUAAAUUAAUUCCUAAGUAUUUCAUUUUGGGGGAUUCUAGUUGAAGGGUGUGGCUUCUCUUAUUUCUCUGUCAGUGAUUUUGUUGUUAGUGUAUAGGGAUGCUAUUGAUUUUUGAGUAUUGGUUUUGUAUAUAGCUACAUUGCUGAAUUUAUUUAUUAUAUCUAGGAGUCUUUCAAUGGAGUUUUGGGAGUCUUCUAUGUAGAGUAUUAUGUCAUCUGCAAAUAAUGAUAAUUUAACUUCUUCUUUUCCUAUCUUUACUCCUUUUAUUUUUCUCUCUUUUCCAAUUGCUCUGGCUAGUAUUUCCAGUACUAUGUUGAAUAGGAAUGGUGAUAAGGGACAUUCUUGUCUUGUGCCUGAUUUUAAGGUAAAAGCUUUCAGUUUUCAGCCAUUUAAUAUGAUGUUGGCUGUUGGUUUGUCAUAGAUGGCCUUUAUCAUAUUGAGGUAAAGACCAUCUAUUCCAAUUCUCUGUAAGGUUCUUAUCAUGAAUGAGUAUUGGGCAUUAUCAAAAGCUUUUUCUUCAUCUAUAGAACUGAUCAUGUGAUUCUUACUUUUGGCUCUAUUGAUAUGGUGGAUUACAUUUAUUGAUUUACAUAUGUUGAACCAUCCUUGCAUUCCUGGGAAGAAUCCCAUUUGUUGUGGUGUAUAAUCUUCUUGAUGAUUUGCUGCAUCCUGUUUGUCAAUAUUUUAUUGAGGAUUUUUGCAUCUGUGUUCAUUAGGUAUAUUGGCCUGUAGUUCUCUUUUUUACUUGGGUCUUUCUCAGGUUUUGGUAGUAGAAUAAUAUUUGCUUCCAGGGAUGACUUAGGAAGAAUUGCUUCCCUUUCAACUUCAUUGAAGAGGUUGAGGAAUAGGGAUAAAUAUAAAAGAAGGGAACAACACAAAUGAUAUCAAGAGGCUAUUUACAGAGAUAAUAGCUGAAAAUUUCCCAAACAUGAGAAUGAAAACUGACAUAUGGAUUAGUAAAGCAUGUACAACUCCAAAUAGCCAUAACCAAAACAAAACUACACUCAGACGUAUAAUAAUCACCAUCCCAGAAAUCCAACAUAAGAACAGAAUAUUACAGGGUGUAAGAGAGAAAAGACAAAUAACCUAUAAAAGAAAACCUAUCAGAAUCACAGCAGACUUCUCAAACAAUGAAGUCAAGAAGAGCAUGGAGUGCAGUAUUUCAGAUCCUAAAGGAAAAUGACUUCCAACCCAGUUUGAUGUACCCUGAAAAACUGUCCUUCAAAAUGGAUGGAGAAAUAAGAUACUUCCAUUACAAAAAAUAACUGAAGAACUUCAUGAUCACCAAACCAACCCUGCAAAGAAUACUGAAAGACGUUCUAGAUACACAUAGGAAAAAACCACUAAGCAAGGCAGACAAACAGAAUGGAAAGGUAAAGAUACAACAGCAGAAAGAUAACAUGUCAACAAUGAACCAAUAUAUAACAGUUAUAACCAUUAAUGUGAAUGGUCUCAAUUCACAUCUUAAAAGAAACAGACUGGCAGAAUGGAUCAAGAAACAACAUCCAGCCAUAUGCUGUGUACAGGAAACCCAUUUAACCCAAAAGAUACUCACAGACUGAAAGUCAAAGGAAGGAAAACGAUACUUCAUGCAACAGGAACCCCCCCCCCCGCAAAAAAAAACAAGGGUAGCUAUUCUGUAUGCAGACAAUGUGAACUUCAAACCAAGAAUGAUCAGAAGAGAUAAAGAAGGUCAUACUAGUUAGGGGAAAACUUCAAGAGGAAGAGAUAAAAAUCUUAAAUAUAUAUGUGCCAAAUUCCAGAGCACCCAGGUAUACAAAACAAGUAUUAACACAAAUGAAAAAUCAAAUAAGCAAUAACACAAUUAUAACAGGAGACCUUAACACACCAUUGACACAAAGGGACAGAUCAACCAGACAGAAAAUCAGCAAAAAAAUAACAGAACUGAAUCAUACGUGUGAACAAAUGGACUUGAUAGACAUGUACAGAGUGUUCCAUUCAACAACAUCAGAAUAUACAUUCUUCUCAGCAUCACAUGGGACAUUCUCUAAAAUAGAUCAUCUACUUGCCCACAGAACAUAUUUAAAUAAAUGCAAAAGAGUUGAAAUUAUCCCAUGCAUGUUAUUGGAUCAUAGCACCAUGAAACUAGAAAUUAAUGAUAAAAGAAACUGAAAAAAACCCCACAAACACAUGGAAAUUGAAUAAUACACUCUUGAGCAAUCAGUGGAUCACAGAGGAAAUUGAAGAAGGAAUUAGACAAUACCUACAAGCAAACGAAAAUACAAAUACAACUUACUGGAAUCUGUGAGAUGUAGUGAAAGCUGUCCUCAGAGGAAAAUUUAUUGCACUGAGUUCCCACAUCAGGAAAACAGAAUGAACACAAAUAAACAACCUGAUGCUACACCUCAAUCCCCUAGAAAAAGAAGAACAAGUUAAGCCCUAAGCCAAAAGAAGAGAGGAAAUUAUAAAGAGCAGAGCAGAAAUUAAUGCAACAGAGACUGAGAAAACAAUCCAAAGAAUCAACGAAUCACAGAGCUGGUUCUUUGAAAGAAUAAAUAAAAUUGAUAAGCCCCUACCAACCUUAUUUUAAAAAAGGGAAGGAAAAUCUCAAAUUCAUGCACUAAGGAAUGAAAAGGGCAAAAUCACUACAGACUCUGUGGAAAUACAGAAGAUCAACAACACCUAUUUCAAAAACCUCUACUCUCAUAGGUUCGAUAACACAGAAGAAAUGGACAAAUUCCUAGAAACAUAUGAAGUACAAAGCUGGGUCAAGAAGAUGUAAAGCUGAUGAAUAACCCAAUUUCUAUUAAUGAAAUUGAAAAUGUAAUUAAGUCCUUACCUAUGAAGAAGAGCCCAGGCCCAGACGGAUUCACUGCAGAAUUCUACAAGAAAUACAAAGAAGACUUAAAGGACAAUUCUUUGCUGCUGGCUUUGAGGACGGAGGGGACCGUGUGUGCAGCAAGGAUUGUGGGCAGCCUUUGGUUGCUGAGUGGUCCCUGGCUGAAAGUCAGCUAGAAAUGAGACCUCAGCCUGACAACCUCAAAUGAUAGACUCCCACCUCAGUCACCUAGACUGGACAAAGACCCCAACCCAGAGGGGAACACAGCCUGGAGGCAACACCUUGAUUUAGUUUUGUGGGACCUUGAGAACAGAAAAGAGUGGAAGCACACACAGACACCAUGAACUAAUAAGCACAAUUAUCUUCAGCCCAUUUGUUACACAGCAUUGAAAAAUGAACACCCAUGUAUGAAUCAUGGGAAUACUUUGGGGAGGAGCAAAAGCCAUGUGCACGUCCAGCUGGCCCCCAGUAUCCACCGGUUCCACCUCUGUGAAUUCAACUAGCCAGAGAUCUAAAAUGUUUAGGGAAAAAAUGCAUUUGUACCAAGCAUGUAUACACUUCUUUAUGGUCAUUGUUCUCCAAACAAUAUAGUAAGCAAUUAUUUACACAACAUUUACAUUCUACUGGGUGUGCGAAGCCGUAAAGACAUGAUUUCAGGUAUAUACCACCACCUCUGUAUGGGGGCUUUCAGCAGUGGGGUCUCUAGGUGAUCAGCUUCCGUCACUACCUCAGAUAUUUUACAGGACCAACUGAGAGCCAGAAAGGGUUCUUCUGGACUCUCAGUAGGUUGUGGCCUCUGACCAGGUGGCCAUGGUUUGGAUCUAGGAGGAGGCCGUACAUCAUAGCACGAGUGUGCGCUGGAGCACAGAUGCUCACUUCAUGGCCUGGAAACAAACGGGAAGGACAGGAGAGGGCUGGGGUUCCACGCUGUCCCCCAGGGACGUAAAGUCCUCCCGCGAGGCUCAGACUUUUAAGUGUUUACCCUCUCUCAAUCCCAACUCAACUGCCCAAUCUCAACCUCCUGAGGAAAAAGCUUUUAACACACUGGCUUUUGAAGAACAUCUAAAAUGCAAACCAAAAUAAAUAAAAUAAAAUGUAACUGUAGCAGUCUCCAUGCUGGGCCUUCUCAUCUGCCCCCUGGGUGUUUAUGACAAGGGUGCUCUAGGGGGUGAUGGAGCCACCAAACAGAAGGAGUCAGGGGCCCAGAAACCUGCCCAACAACACCCACUGCACGUGAGCCAUAGCACUGUGUGGCACCCACCUGUCACUGGCCUCAGCCUUUGAGCUAACACAAAGCUGGAACAGAGCAGCAGAAGCGAAGAGUGAGAGCUUGGUGCCGGGUGGGAUGCGGGCUGUUUUCUUCCCGAGCUGGCAUUUCCAGGGCUGCUUCCUGGUGGCAGCCGGGCUGUAAGAUGCUUGCUGUCAGCAUGGUCCUCCCUGCUUCCCGGGACACUCACUGACUGUGGUCCUGCCUCUGCCAGAGCUGGAAGUGCUGAGUUGACCCAGGGUGUCACCUGUGCCACAGCAGUGCCCUGCGUACCCAGUCAAGGGCUCACUCACUCCCCUGCCUCCGUGUUCCUCAGUUGCUCAAAAUGUCACUCCAGAACUCUUCGACCCAAGGAAGACUCGGACCCGCAGGGUUCUGCUCCCCUCCACCUUGACUGUUAGAGAGUUAGACUGCCGGAUGAGGGACAUCGUGUUGAAGCCCUCGUUUUGGCCACCAGCAGUUUGACUAGUGACAAGGAGAAACCACGCUCUGUAUAGGACUGAGCAUGGGGUAGAGAACUGUUUUCCUGUCCUGUCUCCCAGUGGUCCAGAGUACAAAAUAAUUCAUCAAGUGCUACAUGGUAAAAGCCAAUGUCACAUCUGGUGCAUGUUUACACUGGGAAAGAUGAAGCCCAGAAAUGCUUCUGAAACCCAGCCAUGGAGACGGGAGAGAUAUCUGCAAUGAAUGUACGGAAGGAACACGUUAAGAUGAUGGAUGGUCCCACCCGGGCUUUCCAGGACAGAUGGCUCCCUCCCCUAAACAUGAUGACUGACAUGGGUCCCCGCCCUCCUCUGUGCUGCCCUGGGAGGGUCUCUGGUCUCAGUGAAAAUCGCUUCUCCUUGUGUGCAUCCCUCACGCAGGCCAGGUCAUCUGCCAUCAGGAUGUGCGAUCCUCUCCCUGGCUGGGCAAUGCCGCAUUUCAUCCCUUUGACUCAGGUUCUUGCAACCCAGGUCAACCACAAUAAGCCUGGCAAGGAAAGCGCAGUUCCCUCCCAUUUUACAGGUCAGAACACUGAGCCUUCUCAGGCCUAGAGACUUUCCCAAAGCCCCACUCGGCAAGAUGCAGAGUUUAGAUUCUCAGCCUCUGGUAGUCUCACCUUGCAACAAAACCACUAAUCAGAAGCCUGUGGGAAGCCAAGUAAUUAAUGUGAGGAUUUAUCAAAUCAAUUAAAUUUGGCCUCUUAAGGGAAUUCUAUCUAAUGAGUACCCCCAUUGUGGGACUGGAAGGAUUUACCAAGAAUAAUGUCCACUAGGACUUGCCUUGAUUCUUGGCUGCUGCACCUAGGGCUAAAGGAUGACCAGGGCUGAGUGGAAACAACCAAGCAGAUUGCUGCUGUUAGAACUGGAGUGCCGGACAGCCUUUUUCGGUGUGGUAGAACCCUAGAAGAGGGAGCUGGAGAAGCCUCGUGGGCAGGGCAAGUCCUCCAGCCUGGACACACACGGUCCGCCUGUGAGCCAGGGGCGGAGAACAGAUCCCUGCCUCUUCGAAUCCUCCUCCUCCUCCUCCUUUUACGAGCCUGGGGCUUCCAGUGUAGGGUGAAAUCCUGAGUGUGUCAGCCAUCAUUAGGCCUGAUUUCAUAGCUCAGCAGUUGAUUUAGAAUAGUUCCGUAACGUCCCAUGAGUCGGUUGGCUCUAGCCAAGCCUCUCUGCAGGGAGCUUUCAUUUGCUCUGAGGGGUGAACCCUCUUUGGUCUGUAGAGCAGACAGCAGCACAGUCAGGGCUAUUGAUGUGCCAGGGUGGGGGAAUAAUGGAGAAAUGUUUUCCUCCAAAGGAAAGGAAAAGGAGAUGUUGAAAACGAGUGGGAUUUAAUCACAUUUCAGGAAACUCGGGAGAGCAGCCCAGAGGCGGCCCCUGACCCGAAGGCUCUUCCUGAAAGUCCAGCCUGAGGUCCUCUGAGUGGUGCAUGCUGGGUCACUGCAGGCAGAACAGGAGCAAAUCGCCCUUAGCCAUCCAUCGCUGAGCCCUCUGAUGUCCCAGGGCAGCUCCCGAGCAUGGGCACAGCAAUGAGGGACCACCCUGCCAGGCCCUGUGCAGACUCCUGGGCCACAAGACAGAGGGUGAUCCUUCGGGCUGCUGUGUUUGGGGCUCUUUGCUUUGUGAUGUGACAGUUUGAAGGUGAACUCAAACUGUGUGCAUCCGAAACUUGCUUCCCCCCGCAGUUGAGAGGUGGGAGUUUAGGCAUGAGAUAGAGCCCUCGUGGGUUAAACCCUGCCUGGGUGCAGGAUCAAUGGGCCACUACAGUCAUUGGCUUUGUUAUAAGAGGAGCAGGCUGUGUCUCACCAUAUGCUCCCCUCGGCCACAUCGGGGGCAGUGUGAAGACCCUCACCAUGUGCUCACACAGCCAACCUCCAGACCACGAGUGACAUAAACAUCCAUGUUUUGUUUUGGUUUUUUUUGGUACCAGUGAUCAAACUCACAACCUUACGCUUGCCAGGCUGAGCUAAAUCCCCAGCCUAAACCUCUAUUUUUAAAAUAAAUUAUCUAGCCGGGGAUGGAACACCUAUAAUCCCAGCACUUGGGAGACUGAGGCAGGAGGAUCACUGUGGUUCAAGGCCAGCCUAAACUAUACAGCGAGACCCUCUUCAAAAAGACAUAAACAAGUAAUCUAGUCUGUGGUAGUCAGUCUUAGCAACAGAAAGCAGACUGAGACAGCAGUGGUUACUGGAAGGGCGUGGUCCCUGAACCAGGAAGACUACCAAUGUAAGGAACCCCAGAGAUAAGAGUACGAAAAUACAUUGAGAAAGCCCUGAGAGGCAGGAAGGGACCCCAAAGUGAGUUUUCACAGCACCCACUUUUCCCAGAGUUUUAUAGACAAACUCAUGAGGUGGGUCAAAUUCCGAUCAACCAAUUAGAUCACAAAGACAGCCUUUUUGACCUAAUAGUGGCAAAGGCAUAUGGAUGGCACUGUUAACCUUGUCCACCAUCUACAAUUUCAAUCUUUUUUUUUUUUUUUUUUUUUUUUUUGGUCUUUUAUAAGACAGGGUCUCACUGUGCAGUUCAGGCUGAACUUGAACUUACUUUGUAGCCCAAACUGGCCUCGAACUCUCAGUGAUCCUCCUGCCUCGGCCUCCUGAGUGCUCUUACAGUUUAACCUUUAUUCUUGGUCUUGGUCUUAGCUUUAGUGGGUGAGAGACCAUGGCCUACCUCUACUGCGAUAGUAGUUUAUUAUAUGGGAAACCUCAGAGGGUGAUAUUAAUAAUCCCAGAUUUUGUUUAGCCCUUCGGGAAGUAGGUAAAUCUUGCCAUUGUGAUUUUAAUCUUUACAAGCACGUCUCCAGCCACAGUUUUGAUGUGUUCUCAUCUUCUCAGCCUCUCCCUGAGGGCCCAGCCCUGUCUGACUGCCUUUACUGUUUCUCCCUAAUUUAGUGCCUACAAUAACAACAUCUUCCCUCCCCUCUCCCACCUGGCUAACCAGGAUCUCCUCGGGGAGAUGACUGUCUCUGUCCCGGAGCCAGCCUUCUGACACACUCUACAAAACCCCAUCCAUCCGCGAGUUCUUUAUUACAUCAUUCUUCACCUGAAAUAUAUUUUAAAACUUUGAAAAGUAAAAAUUGCUGAAAAUCUCAGGAAAACUACUAUUUCUUUGCCCUCUGCCAUUUUUUCUACCAUCCUUUGGCCAGUUUUGUGUUUGGGUUUUUUCACCCACAUUAUGACAGUCAUUGCUAAUGGUAAAGCAUUAGGCAGCUAUUGCUGUGUAACAAAAUAGCCCAAAAGUGAGUUACUCAAAAUAACAGUAAACAUUUACCUCUGUGCCCAGAUGUCACAUGGCCGAAUCCCUAGCAUAUUUAUUAGUAGCCUAUUCUAAGUCUUUCCCAGAUUCCAAGGGAGGAGAAUUAGACUCUUGCUCUUAAAGGAAGAAAUGUCCAAAACUGGGGACAUUUUGUAAAACUGAGGUAGGACAGAAGAAAUACAGAUAGACGGAAAGGAGACAAAGAAAUUGAAAUUUUAAAAAUUGCACUUUAAAAAAAAACUGCAGUAACAGAAUGCAAACUGGGUCUCUUUCCUUUCCUUUCCUGCCUUCUCUUCUCUCUCUCUCUCUCUCUCUCUCUCUCUCUCUCUCUCUCUCUCUCUCUCUCUCUCUCUCUCUCUCUCUCCAAAAUAGCAACCCUGGGCAGCUUCCUUUCAGCUUCACAGGGCCUGCCCCGUCUCUUUCACUUGCCGUUGGUUCUCUUCCGCUCCUGAAUGGGCCGCCCUUCUGGCCCUUGCUGUAGGAAUAGACCAUCAUCUCACUAGGGUGGGUCCUCUUCUAUGACUCAGCCUAAACCAAAGCCAAAGCGUAAGCCUAAAAUGAAAGAUUACUGAAUGCCGCAGAUUUCCACCUCCCGAAACACAGAAGUUCCCUGUUCCCAGAUGUAUUGUGCCUCAUGGCUUUGAGCGCUUGCACUCUGCUUGCCUUGAAUAAGUCCUUCUCACACCUCUUUUACUGAUGUGUAUUGAAAAUUCUUUAGCUAUGACAGGAGUCAGCGAUCCUGCAUGCUUAAUUCUUAAAGGGAGGGUUAAAUUCCUUAUUUCAUCUUGGAGGCUCUCAAACCUAGCCCAUGAUAAAAGCACCAUACCUACUCAGGCUCCAUGAUUUCUUUCUUAUAAUUUUAUCCUAGGAAGCAGGAGAUGUUUGGCUGAAAGACUGCAUUCUGGGAUCAAGGAUUAGUGAGGUCUAGACAGAAGUUGUUGGGUGAGGCUUGCCAGAAACAUCUUAAGAGUAGAAAUAGCUGGAAUUUGUCCCUUAUUCCUUCUUUUUGCAUAUUGAUUGGUGUGCAGAUGUGAUAAUGGGUGUUCUGGCAGCCAUUUCAUGCAUACGAGGCAACCCCAAGAUGGAAAAUAUACACUAAAAAUGAAAGAGAAAACUGGAUGGAGCCUGAGUCCCUGAUGACAUCACAGAGCUUCUCAUAAUUUCUGUGGACUGGCUGACAUAAAACAUUUUGCAUAAUUUCCCUUUUUAAAAUUAGAUUUUAUUGGUACAUUUUAAUACAUGCAUAAGGGUCACACUCACCACAGAGAAUCUGCACCUGCACACGAUGUAUCUUGAUUCUUUUCUCCCCGUUUCCCUUCCUGCCUUCAACCCUUCCUCCCCUCCCCAUUCACAAAAGCUUGGUUUCCACUUUUUCCUUUUUUUCUCGUUUUUUCAUUUUCCCUUCUUUCUCUUCCUCCUCUGCCCCAUUUGAACGUUUUCUUCCUGUCACAAACCUUUUACACCUCUUUGUCCCUGUUUGCACUUUCUGUUUCUUACACCAGAGAAACAAUGUGGUGUUUACACUGGCUAACACAGAACUUUUACAAGUGGAGAGCUAACAGUCCCCAACAUCAGGCUGUGGCUCCAUCACACUAGCGUGAACCCUCACCGCUGAACUGUCAAACCUAGCUUGCUUAGAUACUCCCAGACCUCUUCCUGCGUCACAUCCCUCUACAAAUUAUCUAGUUUUUUAGUAUCUGUAAAUUAAGUCGCUGAAGGAAACUGAUUGACCCGGGUAACCUCGACAGCCCAAGGCAUAAGCAGCCACAAGAUGGGCUAACUUUGAGGCUUGGGCCUCACCCUUGGCCCGGUGGUGGCCUCUGGGGAUGUCCCAUCGCCCUGCCGGUGUCCGCCUGCAGGGCAGAGCCGGUGGGGCCCGGAGGGGCCGUGCUCCAGUGCAGCACAGGGCGCUGAGUGAGCACAGCUCUUAGCUCCGUCCUCCCCUGGCCAUCUGUGAGGGGACCCUCGGGCCUCCAGCACAGCAGGUCAUUUCCCAUGGCAUUGGGCUGUCCUCGAUUCUGAGGGCUGGCCUCCACAAAGCGGAGGUGGCCUUUCGGUCUCUGCUGUGUGAGUGAACACAGCCCAGCCAUCCCAGGGGGAGCCACAGUCGGCAGUCCUGGAGUCCUGUCCCUGCUACCGCCAUCCUGUGGAAGUCCAGCUUCUCCUGGGACUCAGUUUCCCCAUGAGUUACUAUCACCAUGUAAAUAUCACCCGAGACUUAAAGGCUGAGAGUGAUACAGAGGAAAGAAACUCCCAGCUACUAGGUGUCUGUCAUGAGUUCCUGGUCUCUAAAAUUGUAGAGUGAAUUUUAGAAACCACAGAGAUUAAGAACAGAAUGUAUUUAUAGAGAGAAAGAAAGCUUCUGUCUUGAGAGAGAGAGAGACAGAAGGGGUCCUGAGUGAGUCACCAAGGAGCCUGCCUUUUCCAGGGAUUUUUAUAAAGCAAAGCCAGGAGAUGAGGUGGCUCCAAGGUCAGGAAAAAUGAGACCCCCCAAGGCAGGCAGGCAUAAGGCGGGACAGAGCUAUGGUCAACCAAUAAGAUUAGGAGUGUCACUGCUCCGGUAACAUUGAUUCAGUUGGGAUCCAAUGGGGGAGGAGAGUCACACAGCAAGGGGCAGAAUACAAACAGGGCCUUUGCUGGUCAGGGGCUGGGUUAAUGGCUCCUGCUGGUUUCCUCGAAGUGAUUGAUACCUAUUGAGAAUAUCAGUCCCUGAUGUUUACAGUUAGGGUGUGGUUGCAUCUGUUUUGCCUUUUGUCUUGAGACCUGGCCCGCAGCGGAGCAGGCUUUUGCACUGGCUCCUGUGAGGGCUCACCCCUGCCUGCCUGCCUAUAAUAUUUCGAUCUAACCCAGCUGCCUGUAGCAAAAGCAACAACCAUUGACCUUGUUCAUAGCUCUGCUGUUUGGACAGGGCGUGGAGUCGAUGGAGUCCUCAGCUACAUGCAGGACCACUGGAAAGGCUCACCUCCAAGAGGACCAACUCAUCUCCAGGUGGUGCGCGUACACACACACACACACACACACACACACACACACACGGUGGGCCAGUGGUAACACUGAUCACUGGGGCUCACACUGGGCAGUGCAUUUUGAGACCUGGCAUUUGGAAAUCACAUGGCCACAUAUCCUUAAUGCUCUAUGGCAAAGGGUCCAUCACGUAAGGGAUGGUGGACACAGAUCCCACAUUUUGUUUUCUUUUUGAGACAGGCUCUCACUGUGAAGUACAGGCUGGUCUUGAGUUCACUAUGUUAGCCCAGGCUGGCCUCCAACUCACUAUGAUCCUCCUGCCUCAGCCUCCUGAGUGCUACGAAUACAGAUGUGGCCCUCCCCACCAGGACCCUGAUCCCACAUUCUUGACGGGCCACAGCAGGCUUCUGGGGGCACUGGAAUGGAGGCAGCUUCGUGGCACUCUUUAAGAAGCUGUGUGGGCAGUCAGCGGGGCUGUGUCCUCGGCAUACUGAACUAUGACGGAGUCCGAUUUCACCACAUCUCACAAGACACUGAGAAGUCCCCCUUUCUCCUUCUGGGGAAGCAACUUUCUUUUUGAGAAAAGAGAUAUUUUCUUUUUUUAGAGACAGCCUAUAAUUUCACCAGUGCCCAAGCAAGACAGAGCUUGUGCAUGUGCGUCUGUAGUGCUGGGAUUCGAACCCAGAACCUCUCGGUGAGCUACAUACCCAGUUCUUUAUGUAUUUAUAUUUUCCAGCAGGGUGUUGUCAAGUCCCUAAUUCACCCCCAUGGGAGCUCUUUAAAGCCACGUAGACUGUAGAAGUUUUGCCCACCAGGGGAGGGAUUUCUGUGGUUCAAGGGUCAGCUCCAAAGGUUGUACCCAAGGCCAUCUCCCAGCGGCACACACUGAGGUGACCCCUUCUGAGAGCCUGGUUCCCUGGCUGCACCCUGAACCUGUCUCAGAGACAGGGAGAAGAUUGCAAUCCCAGAGUUCCCCAGCCUCGCGUGCAGCUGAUGUGUCUUGUGACAAAGUCAGGCCUUGUGGGACCAGGGGACCCAGUAAAACCCUUGCAGCCACCCACGCUCCAGGGGCCACCACCCAAAGCCCCAGGCCCCGAUGGAGCUCCAGGAACCGCCCCUUGCCAGGCUUCCGUCCUUUCCUCUCCUGCAGGCCCUGCCCUGUCCACGCUGCUGCCUUUGCACCCUCAGCUCUGGCCCCCCAGCACUCCCUCUUCCCGCACUGUCACGCAGCUCAGCUCCCACUUCCUCCGUAAGGACAAACCCCGGGGGACCUGGGGCACCUCCACUGGGCCCACCAGUGGUUCUCACAGCAGGUCCAGUCUCCAAGGAGGCCCAGGGCGACAGGCACCUGGGUGGAGGGUGGGGCCUGGAGUCCUGGAUGUCCUUCAGCAUCCGACAUCUUCCUCCUAAAACAGCAGUACCACCCUCCCUGCCUGCUGGGCUGUCACAGGGCUGGGCACCAGGGGAGCAGGGCACAAGGCCUGUGGGACACACCUACAAGUGGUGGCAGGUACGUGAUGGCCGCACUGUGGGCAAGUGUGUCAGGACGCAGGUGUCAGACUCAGGGCCACAGCAGUGAGGCAAUUAACUCCUGGUUUUUCUUCCCAAUAUUUAAUUUCACUGUAAUUCCAGCACUCAAGAGUCUGAGGCAGGAGGAUCGCUGUGAGUUUGAAGCCAGCCUGGGCUACAAAAUGAAUUCACGUUCAGGCUGAACUGCAUAGUGAGACCCUGUCUCGAAAAGGCCAAAAGGAAAAAAAGAAAAACAAAAACAAGCAAACAAACAAACAAAAAAAUAUAUAUAUGGUUUUCAACCACCCAGGAAAGCUGAAAGAGGAAGCCUAAUGUAUUUUUUUAUGAACCAAUAAAUUGGUGACAUCAUGAUAUCUCUCCCUUACCUAUUUCUAAAAGGAAGGACUUGCUUCUUGGUAGCCACGGAAACUGCACUGCACUCAUGGGUUUAUUGUUAAUUUGCUCGUAUUGCAAUAAAUACAAACUGUGUUUAAA